UUAAAUGGCUGCAGUAAUUUGACUGUACAAAGGUAGCAUAAUCAUUAGUUUUUUAAUUAAAAGCUUGUAUGAAAGGUUGGACGAAGUAAAAUCUGUCUCUUUUUAAUAUUAUUAGAAUUUAAUUUUUAAGUUAAAAAGCUUAAAUUUAUAUAAAAGACGAGAAGACCCUAUAGAGUUUUAUAAUUUUUAUUUUAUAAUUAAUUUAGAUUUAUUGAUUUUAUUUUAUAUAAAUUAUUUUAUUGGGGUAAUAUAAAGAUUAAAAAAAUUCUUUUUUUUAUUGACCAUUAAUUUAUGAAAUUUUUAUGAUCCAUUAAUUUUGAUUAUAAGAUUAAAUUACCUUAGGGAUAACAGCGUAAUUUUUUUAGAGAGUUCUUAUCGAUAAAAAAGUUUGCGACCUCGAUGUUGGAUUAAAGAUUAAUUUAGGUGUAGAAGUUUAAAUUUUUGGUCUGUUCGACCAUUGAAUCUUUACAUGAUCUGAGUUCAAACCGGCGUAAGCC
rnacentral:rRNA from 1 species